rnacentral:rRNA from 1 species
GGGUCAGUAGGUUGGUCGUGCCACCGGUACGUACUGGUCUCACUGAUUCCUCCUUCCUGAAGAACCGUAAUGCCAUUAAUUUGGUGUUGCGGGGAGACAGGACUGUUACUUUGAAAAAAUUAGAGCGUUUAAAGCAAGCUAACGCUUGAAUACAUUAGCAUGGAAUAAUGAAAUAGGACGAUCGAUCCUAUUUUGUUGGUUUCUAGGAUUGACGUA